UACGGGAGGGGCAAGCGUUGUUCGGAAUUACUGGGCGUAAAGGGUGUGUAGGCGGUUUUCUAAGUUUGGUGUGAAAUCUCCCGCUCAACCGGGAGGAUGCGCCGAAAACUGGGAGACUAGAGUGCGGGAUGGGAGAGUAGAAUUCCUGGUGUAGCGGUGAAAUGCGCAGAUAUCAGGAAGAACACCCGUGGCUAAGGCGGCUCUCUAGUACGGUACUGACGCUGAGACGCGAAAGCGUGGGGAGCGAACAGG
rnacentral:rRNA from 1 species